rnacentral:lncRNA from 1 species
UUUGGAAUUAGUGGGAGAGAGAUAAAGUUAGGGUUAGAGAAGAAAAUUUGGGUAAAGCACUUCUCCACUCCCUUCCUCGGCAUAACUCUUCAACCUCGUCCAUACCCACCAAAUUAUGGAGGAUGAAACCGUCUUUUGGCGCUGGUUUUUGGGAUUUUUGGUUCCCAACGAAUUUCAGGAUAACCACUAUAUAUAUGAGAAAAUGACUGGAAAAAAUACAUCGCAAAGUGAAGCAAAAAUUCUGAACAGGUAUGUAUCAUUUCACCUACUCUAUGUUUGAAUAAGAUUGAAUAGAUUGUAAUUUGCCACAAUCAUAUAUCCAAUUAUUAAUUCAUUAAUUAUUUGUGGCAGAGAAAUUGAUAUGCUUUUAUUUUGUUUCAUAUGAUCAAUCUAGAUGAGAAUAAAUCAGUUAGAAACUUUUGAAACAAAAAAUCUUUAAUUUACUGUGUAUAUUAGUUUUUAGUUUAUUGUGUAUAUUUAUAGUUUUGCAUGGUGUACUGAAGGGGAAAUAUUAGAUAUUUUCAGAGUAGGCAUCUAUUUUGUGUAUAUAUUGAGGUUUCCUGUCUGGUUUUGAGAGAAGAGUGGAUGGAUUGUGGAAAUAUGGUAUUAAAGCUUCCGUUUGAGUGAAAUCAUGCUUCUUGGUGGCCCUUAGGAAUUUGUUUGAUAGGCUACUGGCACUUUAAGCUUAGAUGAACUGAACCAAAGUGCUUUAAGGUGAAUAUUCUGUAGGGUAAUUCCUUUGAACUUAGAUGAACUGAACCAAAGUGCUUUAAGGUGAAUAUUCUGUAGGGUAAUUUGUAUUUUGUUGAAACCGGUAAACAUUUCUUCACUAGGCUCAAUCUUUGUCACAGCGUCUUUUAAAUAUGCUGCAUGUAAUUUUUUAAGCAAUCCGGCUAGUUCUUAUUUGUAUAAACACUAAACAAACGAAAUACAUUGUCAUGAGGUCUUAUGAUAUGAAAGUCGUAGAAUUUGAUAAGUACAUUCCUCCCUAUUACCAAAGUUAAGCAAUGAUCUCAACUUUGGUAUCACAUAGUGUGUCCAAUGUUGCAUAAAGACGAGCCGUUGAUUGCCAUCGUACGCCUUGUGAAUCUGCACAUAUAUCAUUGUUAUUGUGUUGGUGAUAAUGCUCUCCUUUCCUUGAUGUUGUACUGCCUUUGGUUGUUUCCAUCUUGUUGCAUACCAUCUGCAAUUGAACCCAUGAUCCACCUGCUUCAGUAUUGAUGUCCGUAACUGUCCUCUCCUCUCUACUCUUCCUUCAUUUCUACUAGUGAUUCUUGAUACAUUUCUUAUGUGACUUUCUUCGUGCUGUUUCCAUUUGCAUUUUUGAGUUGAUAUGUAGGCCCAAAUAGAAUCAUAUUGCCCGCGAGGUGCAUGCCAAAGUACCAUGUUACUUGUCUUUUCCCUAACUGGUCUAUUGUAGUGUUUUGGAUCUCAAUCUCAUGAUUGGUUCUUAUGUUUCCAGCUUUCUCUUUAGCUUCAUAUAGUUCGUCCAUAUUUAUCUUGCGGAGGAAGAAUGGAAAAAUGUUGAUUUUCAUAAGAUAUGGUUCCAGUUGGCUGUAGGAGAUGGAUACCAUGUAAAAAUAGAACUAGGACUGUAAAACAACAUCUACUUUAACCAGUUAGAUGAUGGUAAGAACAAUCAAACGUAGUAUAACCAUUAUUUGUCCGCUGGUGUGUUAUUGCCAAUAAAAAAUUGUUUUGUUUUGAAUGUGUUCCUAAAGUUGAAAUAACUAGAAGGCAUCACAUUCUUUCGUGAAGAUAUUAGAAUCAGGAAAUAAGAACUUGUUCCCAUCAUAUAGUUCUCAACUUAAUGCUCUGAACUAUCUCUUUUAUGGGCUUCUACAUUUCACAAAUAAAUUGUCCACUGAUAAUGAAAUAUAUUUGGCUACAGCAUGAUACUGGUGAUAUGUGAAUUCUUCACCCUGUCCAAAUAAAACAGAAAAUUGAUUCCUUUUUAUCUCUGUAGGCUUAGUUUAUCUUUUUCUUUUUUCCAGGCAUGGAUUGGCUUCUAAAAAAUAAAAUAAAUAAAAUAGAGAAAGAGCAUAGGUCUCUCGUAAAUAUAUUCUUUCACUAAUGUUCCAGCUCUAUUUCUGGCAGUGUCUAGUGGUUGUCCUCCUCUUGUUAUUAUUGAGAAAACCUGGAUCAGUUUCAUAUCUUUCUCUUAGUGCUAGUUGAAAAAAUGCCUUGGGUGAUUCUCUUUGACGAAGGAGAGUCAGUUAUUGUAGAUAGGUACUGCAUUUGGAUGAUCCAUAACACAGUCCUUUACUCAUCUAAGAAGUACAACUAGCAUCCUGAAAACCUGCAUCCUCUACUAUGUUUUUUUGCUUACCGCCAGAUGUCUUUUUGAGGUCCGUAUAUGAAGACAAGGAUAAUACCUCAGGCUUUCCAGAUUGAUGAUUUAUGUUCUUUUUGAGUUUUUCUUUAGUUAUUUCUAACUUUUGAUUUUUUAAACUAAAUACAUCUAAUGAAUAUAAUAAAAUCAUGUAGUAUUUUUGAUAGAAAUCUACAAAUCAAUGGCAUCGGGCGGACGUGUCUCUAGACAAACCACAAUUACAGGUGCUUCUACUCAAGCAAGCCGAUCAUCUGAUCCAUCAAACAAUAAUAAUCCUACUGCUAAUACAGGUAAUACGUACCUUUUAUUAUAAUUACUAGGAGUGCUAUUAAUUAUUGUUUGUUCUCCUUUUUUCUGAUGCUUAUUGCUCAUUGUUGUCAGUGUACUAUUUUUUUGUUGUUUAUUCUUACGGAUCCUUUUUUUUGGCCUGUUAGGUGCAUUCCAUAUUGUUUUCUAUAUGCAACAAGUAUAUCCUGCACUUCUAAUUCAGACUUUUGGUAGUACUAUUUUUAUUGGAACCUUUGCGGUAAAAUUGAAGUAAUUUCUUAUGGUCAGGUCAACUCCAUUGCAAUCCGAAGGUAUAUUGGGAAUUUUCAUUUAUGUGAAAGUCAUUAUCUGAUAAAUUACAUUGCACCCAUUCUUUCUUAUUGGUUUUAGCAAAUACUAAGGGUAGCCAAGAACUUAACACCUAUUGCAAUACUUUUCUUGAGUUUAACUUUAUAAAACAAACGGAUUGUGUUUAAAUGAGGGGAUGUAAACAAAGUUUCUGAUUAUCGACCAAUAAGAAGUUUCAACAAAUUAUUGAACUUUAUUAAACAAACGGAUUGUGUUUAGAAGAGGGGAUGUAAAUAAUAUUUCUGAUUGUCGACCAAUAAGAAGUUUCAACAAAUUAUUACUUUCCUAAACGGGAAAGAAAUAGCAAUCUUUAUAUUCCAGCUUCUAGGAUUAUUUUGUAUUUAAGACCAAAUAUAUUAACAUUUGAAACAUUCAUUAAUGUUAAACUUGAAACAAUAGAGUUUUCAUUUAUAGCAUAGCAAUUAAUUACUAAUAUAUAUAUAUACACACACACAUAC